rnacentral:tRNA from 1 species
GUCCUCGUAACAUAAUGGAUAGUGUAGGUCCCUCCUAAGGAUCAAAUGUAGGUUCGAUUCCUACCGGGGACACCA